rnacentral:rRNA from 1 species
AACGAACGCUGGCGGCAUGCCUAACACAUGCAAGUCGAACGAGACCUUCGGGUCUAGUUGCGCACGGGUGCGUAACGCGUGGGAACCUUCACUUAGGUUCGGAAUAACUCCCCGCAAGGGGUGCUAAUACCGGAUAAUGUCUUCGGACCAAUGAUUUAUCGCCUUUGGAUGGGCGCGUGUUGGAUUAGCUAGUUGGUAGGGUAAAAGCCUACCAAGGCGACGAUGCAUAGCUGGUCUGAGAGGAUGACAAGAUACACUGGGUGUGAGACACGGCCCAGACCCGUAGGGGAGGAAGCAGUGGGGAACAUUGGACGAUGGGCGAAGGCCUAAGCCAGCCGCGUCGCGUGAGUGAGGAAGGGGGUAGGGAUGUAAAGCUCUUUGACACGAGAUGAUAAUGACGGUACCGGGAGAAUAAGCGCCGGCUAACUCCGUG